rnacentral:lncRNA from 1 species
GCGCGUGAGCCGCAGCAAAACUCGACGGCGAGUAGGACGGUGAGGAAGAAGAGGACGAAGCCGAGAAUGUAAGGCAAGUGCGGGGACAGGGAGGAGUGGGAGAGGAGGAGGGAGAGCGAGUGGAAGAUGUAGGACAAGUACGACGAUAUCAAGAAUGUCCCUGAGAAGACCACCAGGAUUAGGAUCAGCAGGUCGAGGGUCGCCGACGGUGAGUGCUUGCAGAGGAGAGGGGUCGUCGAUGACGUGGCGGAUGACGGCGCGGCGGAGGGCAUGGUGGUUGCCGGGACGAGGUGGUGGUGCAUGUUAUGCUCCUAUGAUGGUGGUGUUUGUUGUUGUGGCCUUGUGGGUGGGUUUUUGAACUUUUUGGUGGGGGGAUGUGAGGAGGAGGUUGGGCAUCAAAUGGCAAGUGGCGAUGGGUGGGCUACACGCGCCUUCAGUGAGAGUGGUGGGACGAUUUUUUACCUUUUUUUAAAAUUCUUUACUCUUUUCUUUGCUUUCCUUUUCUUUUCGUGAUGGAUUUGACUUGGGAUUUUAAGUUUUAGGUUUCAUACUUAAGAGUAGUAAUUUUGAGGAUGAUCCUCUUCUAUUCUUGCAUUUUUCUUUUUUUCUCAUCCAAGGUCAUAGAAUCAAAUAUUUGACUAUAUUACCCUUAUUUGUUUAUAUUGAUCAUCUUUUGAUAAAUUGAUUACAGGGGUGUAAUAGUCUAAUUAUUAAUCUUGUGUAAGCGCGGUUGUAAUUUUGUGGAUUAAGUUAUCCCGCCGUAGAUGAUAUUAGAUCUCAAACUAAUGGGAUUUUGAUAUCUAAAUUAAGUUCUUCAAGAAGAAGAUAAAAUCAGAGAUGGUGAUGUGGAAAAUUUAAUAAGUAGAAGUUUUCUUUAGAUUUUGUUUUUCUUUUGAAAAAAAAAUCAUUAAAUAAGGAAAAAAAAUUUACGGGAGAGAUAGAAGCUAGAUUAUAAGGUAAAUUGAGAUAUAAAAUUCCUUUUUUUAAUUUUAAUUUUAUCCUUCUUUUUGUUAGAAUCACCUAAUAGCAAUCUAAUCCCGGCCAGCCAUAUACCAACCUCACUAUUUUGACAAUGCGAACUUGUGCUUUAGCUUAAUUAUGAGAUUAAGAAUAUUCUGAAGUUAUAUUAGAGAAACCUCUAAAGUAUGUUAUUGAGGGUUAUCUUACUUAUUUUCAUUCUUUAACUGUAAACGAGUAGAACCAUUAAAUGUGAUUAGCACUGCUCCAAUGAAGAACAAGUCUUUUACAAGUUUUAUUGAUGCUUAGCCCUGGCACUUGAGUUGAAACAGAUUCAAAACUAUUGAUGAAGUUUUGCAGAUCACAUCAUAAAGAAACCAAUACAUUCUUCGUUGGCAUUGACUAAUCAUUAUAGACUUCAAUCAACGUUUUGCAGAACAGAUAAUCAGUAACAACCAAUCUGAAUACCACCACAAUGCAAUCGCAAUACACAUCAUAAAAUGUCAAACAACAAAACCAUCAUCAAGACAAUCAAUCAAUUAAACUGCCUUGCAAUCAACAAAUUCCUCAAUUCACUAUAAUCAUCACAUAAAUUCAGCAAUUUCAGAUUCAACAACAAAAUUUAAGAAGGAAAAAAAAAAACACCAUUUUCACAAAAACUAAUUAGAUCACCAUCAAAUGAACAAAAAAAGGGAAAAGGAACUCACUUUUUAUGCUUUCUGCCACGCUUAGGGCCCCAGCCUUGGAGUUUGGCAACGGGGCACCCACAUUUGGCCCGAAACAACAAAACGGCCCGCCCAUUAGACGGCGCCAUCUUACGCAACUCGGCGCGAAGGCACUCGUAGUCAGGAUUCCCUUCGCUGCCGCCCUUCCAGGGCAAUUUAUCAAUAACAUCAUCCGAUCUCACGCACUCAUCGGUCUGGAGCUGCAAAUCGAAUUCCAUAGCCUUCUUAAGGCCCUUGCAAUUAGGGUUGUGGCAUUUCCUGGCGCGUGAGCCGCAGCAAAACUCGACGGCGAGUAGGACGGUGAGGAAGAAGAGGACGAAGCCGAGAAUGUAAGGCAAGUGCGGGGACAGGGAGGAGUGGGAGAGGAGGAGGGAGAGCGAGUGGAAGAUGUAGGACAAGUACGACGAUAUCAAGAAUGUCCCUGAGAAGACCACCAGGAUUAGGAUCAGCAGGUCGAGGGUCGCCGACGGUGAGUGCUUGCAGAGGAGAGGGGUCGUCGAUGACGUGGCGGAUGACGGCGCGGCGGAGGGCAUGGUGGUUGCCGGGACGAGGUGGUGGUGCAUGUUAUGCUCCUAUGAUGGUGGUGUUUGUUGUUGUGGCCUUGUGGGUGGGUUUUUGAACUUUUUGGUGGGGGGAUGUGAGGAGGAGGUUGGGCAUCAAAUGGCAAGUGGCGAUGGGUGGGCUACACGCGCCUUCAGUGAGAGUGGUGGGACGAUUUUUUACCUUUUUUUAAAAUUCUUUACUCUUUUCUUUGCUUUCCUUUUCUUUUCGUGAUGGAUUUGACUUGGG